GACGAACGCUGGCGGCGUGCUUAACACAUGCAAGUCGAACGGAAAGGCCCUGCUUUUGUGGGGUGCUCGAGUGGCGAACGGGUGAGUAACACGUGAGUAACCUGCCCUUGACUUUGGGAUAACUUCAGGAAACUGGGGCUAAUACCGGAUAGGAGCUCCUGCUGCAUGGUGGGGGUUGGAAAGUUUCGGCGGUUGGGGAUGGACUCGCGGCUUAUCAGCUUGUUGGUGGGGUAGUGGCUUACCAAGGCUUUGACGGGUAGCCGGCCUGAGAGGGUGACCGGCCACAUUGGGACUGAGAUACGGCCCCGCCUCCUCCGGGCGGCCGCCGUGGUGCCUCUUGCCCCCUGGGCGGCCGCCUGCUGCCGCCCCGCCGCGUGCGGGAUGACGGCCUUCGGGUUGUACCCCGCUUUCGCCUGUGCCGCCGCGUGCGUGCCGGUCCUGGCUCCCGCCGCCCCGGCUCCCUCCGUG
rnacentral:rRNA from 1 species